UAGAGUCCACUAUCCAAAGCAACCAUUUUCUCCAGGGGAACUGGUCUCUAUCAUCUGGAGAUCAGCAGUAAUCCUAGGAAAUUACUGGAAGUUGGUGACUUUAGUCUCAUGCCUUUAUCUUAAGUGAUCAGCAUGGAGCCAUCAGGCAGAUUGGCUUACAGAUAAACAUGUAGUCAAUAAAGGUUUUGCUUCCUGCAAACCUGUUGUCCUUUGGGGAAAGGACAUUGCAAUACAUCCCUGAUGUAACCUGAAUAGAUGAAUCUGUCGUGGUGGUGAAGGUGAAAUUGUCAUUGUUCCCUUAUGGAGGAGUUUUCUAGCAUACCAUUCAAAACAUUAUGUAGGACCAGAGCAACCAUCACUUUGAAUCUCUUCCCUUCUUUUUCUUUGUAAUAUUGAGGCAAACAUAGCAAAUCACCUGACAUCACCACACACUACAUUUCCUUGAGGGUUAUGCCCUUGCCUUCCCCUCUGGAAACUUGCUGUUGGAUAGGAAACCAAGAUGCAAGUGUUAUAGCUAGGCCAGGGAGAAACAAAAAAGGAACACACAGGAUUCAGGGCAGAGAAAACAAUAGAACCAGACAGGAGGUUCUAGAACUUUGGUUCCCAACUAUUUUCAUGUCUAAAUUUACUUCAUAUGGUAACCCAUCCAGGGCUUGCCCAAGGUGGGGUUUUUGUUUUGUUUGUUGGUGCACUAAGCAAACUACAACCUUAGUGCCCAUCUAUUGCAACAUACUGUUUUCUACAGUGCCCAACCAAGUAUUUUCAAGAAGCUACCAAACUUCAAACUUCACACAAAGGGUACAGCUGCCCACCCCCCACUAUAAACUUCAACAUUCUUCUCUUCUGCUCGCUGGACCAGACGCAUAGUGGAGGAGACAUUCUGGGGGUGGGGGUGGGACUCGGUUGAGGAGAUACCCAAAGAAGGCAGAUGGGAGUGAAGAUCUUGGUGGCAAGGAUCUAGGUGCUGUAUGUCUUCCAUGUCAAUGAAACAAUAAAGGGGGCUGGGCAAGAGACCAGGCUGCUGAAGAGGCAGCACCAAGACAGAGUCCAAGCACAGACACGCCUCUUUCUCUCUGGCUUUCCCAUGGCAUGCUGAACUACUUUCCAGCCUCCUCUCCUUCUUCCAGCUACUUCAGUGCAGCUACUAUAUAGUUCCCUGAGGGCUUUUUUCCUCCUCACUCAUUGUCACAGAGGAGGAGGGGAAGAUGAGAAUGUUAGAAG